CGUGGGUCUUCAACGAGCUAACAUUAUAUUUGUGCGAUUCAAAAUUUUACUACAGAAAUAUAAACUUUCAAACAGGGCUAUUCACCAUUGGCAUAAUGUCAACACCGAAAGAAAAUAAAUCGAAGGGAAAUCGAUGUCCGCUCUCUAUGGUUGCUGCAUAUAGCAAAGCAAUAAUCGAACCACAAAUUGGUCAGGAUGGAAUCAGUAUGCUGAGUUUAGCAGCAAUAACUUUGGUUGGUGAACGAUCUGAUGGUACGAAUGCAGAAGAGAUGUAUACUAGCUUCAAAGAAAUUCUAAACGGCAAAUGUCAAAAACAAAACUCAUCCGAAUUUUUGGCAUUUUGGCGUUCCCUAGAAAGCAAAAUGGAGAAGCUAUCGGUAUGUCGUCUUUUAUAUAUGUAACUUUUUACGAAUAAUUGCUACAUUUUGUCACAAAGCUGAGAUUUGAUUGGAAAAUAAGACUGCAGAAGUCAUAUCUCAAUCUGGAAAUACGUAUAUAGUUGCUAUAUACACCAUGAGAUAAAAUAGAUCAUGCAUACGCCACUAUAUCUGCAUUUUACGACACUAUAUAUUUGAUACAGACAUGAUCAAUUGCAUGUUGUUUGUAUAUUAUCGUUGUUAAAAACACUUAUAUUAAAUAUCGGAAUCAGGGCAAUCCAUAGGUACAUUUAGCCGGGUUAAUUCCUUGUUAGCCAAAUUUAGGAUGUAACUUUAGGGAGUAAUCGCUUUUCCCGAUCAGAUUCGUCAUCACAGAUUUAAAAAUGGCCGGUUUAUUCCCUUCUACGCAAUUGAAAUUUUUAGUAUCCAGAAAGCUUUCCUAUUGUUGUUUAGAUUUAGAUCGAUGAAAGUAUAUAUACUCGUAAACUAUACUCAUGCACAGACGUAAAUUACAAUUUAGCCAUUUCAUUUGAUUUCAAUCAAAGCUAUGCAUAAGACGUGUUUGCAUGUAAAUUUAAAUACUUCCUUCUAUCGGAACAAAUUAGUUUGCCAUAAAGCGAAGCCAAAGGGCAUUUUGUUGUGGAUAUAAAACUGUCCGGCUCACUCUCCGCAUUUUAAGAUAAACAAACUCUUGGAAUUAAAAGCAUUAAGGAAUUUGAGGUUAUACAAAAC